GGUGCUGCUUUUUGUAACAGAAUCUCUGAGUCUGCAGCUUUUCAUCGUGGAGCUGAGAGCCAAAAUUCAAGAUCUGAGUAAAGCCAGGGCUUCUGGAUUGCCAGCUGAAGCAGAGGAGCACGAGCCAGGGAACCCAGACUCGGAGUGCCAGAGAGAAGACACCAAAACCACAGGGGUGUGGGACUCGGUUCACAUCAGUCUCCCAAUCAGCCAGAUAAUGUAAAGGCCCUGCACAGACAUAGAAGCUUAGAAUCGGGGAUUUAUUAUUGGGUGUCCAAAUAAUGUCUGGAUAGAGCUUGAAUUCAGAGCUGGUCCUGCAAAUACGCCCAGUUGGUUAUCAGAGCUGUGUGGAGGUGACCACUGCUCUAAGCAGCAGGAGGUGUGUGUGAAUCUGCCUGGUGUCAGCAGCUGCCCCAUCAUGGAUCACUGAGGAUUGACACCGCUGGCAGGUGACAGCUUUGGGAAAAGGCUGCAGGCAGAACAAUGCAGCUGUGCACAGGGAACUGCGUGGCAGAGAGGCAGGAGGGAUCAAAGAACUACCAGAGUUGCUAGA